UACGUAGGGUGCGAGCGUUAAUCGGAAUUACUGGGCGUAAAGCGUGCGCAGGCGGUUCGUUAAGUCUGAUGUGAAAGCCCCGGGCUCAACCUGGGAAUGGCAUUGGAUACUGGCGGGCUGGAGUGUGGCAGAGGGGGGUGGAAUUCCGCGUGUAGCAGUGAAAUGCGUAGAGAUCCGGAGGAACACCAGAGGCGAAGGCGGCACCCUGGACGACACCAGACGCUGAGACGCGACAGCACGGGGAGCGAAC
rnacentral:rRNA from 1 species